rnacentral:rRNA from 1 species
GGGGAAUAUUGCACAAUGGGCGCAAGCCUGAUGCAGCAACGCCGCGUGAGGGACGACGGCCUUCGGGUUGUAAACCUCUUUUAGCAGGGAAGAAGCGAAAGUGACGGUACCUGCAGAAAAAGCACCGGCUAACUACGUGCCAGCAGCCGCGGUAAUACGUAGGGUGCAAGCGUUGUCCGGAAUUAUUGGGCGUAAAGAGCUCGUAGGCGGUCUGUCGCGUCUGCUGUGAAAACCCGAGGCUCAACCUCGGGCCUGCAGUGGGUACGGGCAGACUAGAGUGCGGUAGGGGAGAUUGGAAUUCCUGGUGUAGCGGUGGAAUGCGCAGAUAUCAGGAGGAACACCGAUGGCGAAGGCAGAUCUCUGGGCCGUAACUGACGCUGAGGAGCGAAAGCAUGGGGAGCGAAC